rnacentral:rRNA from 1 species
UAGAGCGGCGGACUGGUGAGUAACGCGUGGGUGAUCUGCCCUUUGGUUGGGGAUAGCCAUUAGAAAUAGUGGGUAGUACCGAAUACGUUCGCAUGACUACGGUCAUGCGAGGAAAGGCGCUACGGCGCCGCCGGAGGAUGAGCCCGCGUCCCAUUAGCUAGUUGGUGGGGUAAGAGCCUACCAAGGCGAUGAUGGGUAGCCGGCCUGAGAGGGUGUACGGCCACACUGGGACUGAGAUACGGCCCAGACUCCUACGGGAGGCAGCAGCUAAGAAUAUUCCGCAAUGGACGAAAGUCUGACGGAGCGACGCCGCGUGGAUGAUGAAGGCCGUGAGGUUGUAAAAUCCUUUUGUCGGGGAAGAAUAAGCGUGGGAGGGAAUGCCCGCGUGAUGACAUGAACCGGCGAAUAAGCCCCGGCUAACUACGUGCCAGCAGCCGCGGUAACACGUAGGGGGCAAGCGUUGUUCGGAUUUACUGGGCGUAAAGGGCGCGUAGGCGGUCUUGUAAGCCUGACGUGAAAGGCUAUGGCUCAACCAUGGCACUGCGUUGGGAACUGUGAGACUAGAAUCACGGAGAGGGAGCUGGAAUUCCAGGUGUAGGGGUGAAAUCUGUAGAUAUCUGGAAGAACACCAGUGGCGAAGGCGAGCUCCUGGCCGAUGAUUGACGCUGAGGCGCGAAAGUGUGGGGAUCAAACAGGAUUAGAGACCCUGGUAGUCCACACUGUCAACGAUGUGCACUAGGUGCUGGGGCUGACGCUUCAGUGCCGGA